rnacentral:rRNA from 1 species
CAACCCACGKCGAGGAAGAAAGCCUGUUGGGUGGUAAYCCUCUUUUUUUAGGGAGGAAAAAAUGACACUAUCUGAWGAAUAAGCCUCCCGUAACUCUCUGUCAGCAGACGCGGUAGUAAYACAGGAGGCAAGCGUUAUCUGGAAUCAUUGUGCGUAUAACGUGCGCAUAUGGCAGAUGUGAGUCUGCUGUCAAAGACCGCAGCUCWACCCCUGAAAGGCACUUGAWAMUGAURCRGCUAGAGUGCGGUAGGGGUAGAGGGAAUUYCCGGUGUAGCGGUGAAAUGCGUAGAGAMUGGAAGAACACCSSUGGCGAAAGCGCUSUUCUGGGCCGCAACUGACACUSAGAGACGAAAGCUAUGUGGAGCGAAUGSGAUUAGAUACCCCAGUAGUCCUA